CCUUCCUCUAUUGUUUCCAGAGCAUCACAUGUCAACACAUAGAUAUUUACCGGUAUGGACAUACCACAGGUAGAGGAAUAACACACGCACAGUACUAACAGAAGUUGCGGUAUAUGUGAAAUCCUCCCAAUGUGCGGUCAUGCUCACAGUUUGAAUUAAUGAAAGGCUAAUAUAAAGCGGGAGGCGUUUAGAGCGCGAAAACAUAAUGAAAUCAGCCCUAAGAAAUAUUUAAUAAUGCUCGAAAAUAAAAUGCUAAAACAACAAAAUAUGGAGUCAUAUUCAUAGUACACAGAUAAUUACUUAAAGCGCUUAUUCUGUUUAACGUCGUUAUGAACUGCUAAGAAAAUAUUAAAGUUUUGAGAAAGUGUCGGUACAGAAAGGCCGAAGAAUAGCAAAGAAGAACGUUUAUUUCUAUGCAUAGUAACGACAGAUAAAGUGGACAUUUUAAUUUUAAGAUGUGUUUGUUAAGGGAUUGCAGGAAUAUGAGGAGUCAUUUGUUUUAUUAUAAAAAUCUAAAUUUAAAUUAAAUUUAAUUUAAAUAAAACUUUUUUCGACCCUUUGUGUGCAUUUGUAGUAUGUGUGUGUGCAUGGGUGUAUCUCACCUGCCCUAUUGUCUGAUCAUGUGACUCUCAGAUCGUUAACACACACGCGCACGCAGCGUGCGUUAUCCCUGACAGCGCCCCGGCGACGCUCCUGCUUGUCUCCCUUGUGUGACGAGAGUAACGCGCGCGCGUCCCCUGGCAACAGCCAGUCGCCGUGAGAAUGGAACAGCCGGCAGACGAUUUCGGCGGCCAUUUAACCGCGCGUCGGCUGCACCUCAGACAGCGGUCUGCCUCGAGUGCCCGAGCAACAGAUACGACUGCACGAUGAGGCGACCUUAGUCUCAGGCGAUGUUCUUGUCUUCCUUGGCAGUAAUGUGGCCUGGGAUUGAAUAGUGCUGACGUAUUGGAUGAGACAUCUUAGAGAAAGCCACGUGGUGUGUCUGUGUCCAGCGGUCGUUCUGGAGGGAAUGCUUUUCAAAUAAUCGUCUGAAUGAAGAGUGCCAACAAGUGUGCGCAGUCUUGACACUUUUGCUUUGAGGUUAACCCCUUGUUGUGAUGAUUUCCGUUAUCCCUGAUUGAAUAUUAGUGAUUCAUCGAAGUCAUUCACUCGGCUUUCUGCUGUCCCAGAAGGAUUUGUACCCUACGAGACAAUUUAGGCAAGAUCCACAGAGAUAAGAGCUUGGAUAGUCUUCAGUUUGAACCGUUUCCAAGACAACGCGCCAGGAAGACGACAAGCCGUGGUCAGCCUUCUUGUGAGAAGGGGAGAAACAUCAGCAACACUCUACACUCCCCCUCCCUACCACCCCGAAUGUGUGGCCUUCGCGAGCGCGCACUCAGAUGCUGUGAGGAGUGUACGCCCUUUCUUGGCACUUUCGGACUUAUCAAAGAGAGCAUCUGAGAAUUGUCCUCUCCUGGAACUGCUAACGGUCGAGUGAUGGCGCCCACACAUUCCUGCUACCGCUACAGCAUGAGUGUUUAUGGGGUAUCGGAGGGGCUGAGAUGUUCAUGUGGUUGUUUGCAGGGAACUUCUCUCGGGGAAAUGAUGAAGUCUGGUCAGACGAAAUGACCAACACAGCGACAGAGGGCGCGGAAGCACCGCGAGAAUCAGCGUGAAGAGCAGUUGAGAAGUUCAAUUUGCAGUCUUCCUCCUCCUCGCUCAAGGUCUUCCUGUUGCAGCAGCUUCCCAGACCUUUACGAUGUCGAGCGAGGACCGUGAGGAUGUUGUCAAGUACUGCUACUUAACCCCGCGCCAUUAUGUGCCCGUCAAUAAACAAACACAACAAGUUGUUUACCUUUGAAUGUGACGAUAGUGUGGUGUCUGCUUAAUGGGGCUUACGGAGUGGUAUAACAGUUAGUUUCUA